GACGAACGCUGGCGGCGUGCUUAACACAUGCAAGUCGAACGGAAAGGCCCUGCUUUUGUGGGGUGCUCGAGUGGCGAACGGGUGAGUAACACGUGAGUAACCUGCCCUUGACUUUGGGAUAACUUCAGGAAACUGGGGCUAAUACCGGAUAGGAGCUCCUGCUGCAUGGUGGGGGUUGGAAAGUUUCGGCGGUUGGGGAUGGACUCGCGGCUUAUCAGCUUGUUGGUGGGGUAGUGGCUUACCAAGGCUUUGACGGGUAGCCGGCCUGAGAGGGUGACCGGCCACAUUGGGACUGAGAUCCGGCCCAGACGCCUACGGGAGGCAGCAGUGGGGAAUAUUGCACAAUGGGCGGAAGCCUGAUGCAGCAACGCCGCGGGCGGGAUGACGGCCUUCGGGUUGUAAACCGCUUUCGCCUGUGACGAAGCGUGAGUGACGGUAAUGGGUAAAGAAGCACCGGCUAACUACGUG
rnacentral:rRNA from 1 species